rnacentral:ncRNA from 1 species
CGACCCCAGGUCAGGCGGGACUACCCAUUGAGUUUAAGCAUAUAAAUAAGCGGAGGAGAAGAAACUUACAAGGAUUCCCCUAGUAACGGCGAGCGAACCGGGAGCAGCCCAGCUUGAGAAUCGGGCGGCUGUGCCGUCCGAAUUGUAGUCUGGAGAGGCGUCCUCAGUGACAGACCGGGCCCAAGUCCCCUGGAAAGGGGCGCCUGGGAGGGUGAGAGCCCCGUCCGGCCCGGACCCUGUCGCCCCACGAGGCGCCGUCAACGAGUCGGGUUGUUUGGGAAUGCAGCCCAAAUCGGGCGGUAGACUCAGUCCAAGGCUAAAUACAGGCGAGAGACCGAUAGCAAACAAGUACCGCGAGGGAAAGAGGAAAAGGACUUUGAAAAGAGAGUCAAAGAGUGCUUGAAAUUGCCGGGAGGGAAGCGGAUGGGGGCCGGCGAUGCGCCCCGGCCGUAUGCGGAACGGCUCUUGCUGGUCCGCCGCUCGGCUCGGGGUGUGGACUGUUGUCGGCC